rnacentral:rRNA from 1 species
UACGUAGGUGGCAAGCGUUGUCCGGAUUUAUUGGGUUUAAAGGGUGCGUAGGCGGCUUUGUAAGUCAGUGGUGAAAUAUGGCAGCUCAACUGUCAGGGUGCCAUUGAUACUGCGGAGCUUGAGUACAGAUGAGGUAGGCGGAAUUGACGGUGUAGCGGUGAAAUGCUUAGAUAUCGUCAAGAACACCGAUAGCGAAGGCAGCUUACUGGGCUGUAACUGACGCUGAGGCACGAAAAGUGUGGGGGAUCAAAACAGG